GAAACGAAGACAUCUGAGUCAAGUAGAGUCAAAGGAAGUCAACACAACGUUCAGACUCUAGUUAUUUCAAGAGUUGUAAAGGAUCACCAACCAAAAUUAACAAAUAUCACAUAACAUUUAAAUUUCAACUGCACAAAAUAACCUUUCAACUUAACAUACUCCUUGAAAGGGUUUUUAUAUGUCCAAAAAUGCAUAGCAAUGUUUAAAAAUGAAGUUUUGACAAACUGCACUGUCGUAGCCGAAUACAAUGGAGAAAAUGCAGAUUUUCAGUUCUAAAAUGGCUCUGAAUCAUUCAACACUUCAAACAUUAAUAUUAUCAAUUAUGAACACAUAAUUACAUCGAAACUUAACCAAUCCAACUUCACACCUCAAAGCAAUUAAGGAAAAUCACAACAACAACCGAAUAUGUAUAUACAGACUUCAUAGUAUAACAAACACAACUCAUGUGUCAAGCACUCUAAUGCAAUGUGUAUAUGUCAGAAUGCAUGAUUCUAGAAUUCAAAGCCAAAACCCUCCUCGAAGGGCGUAAAUCAUAAUUGUACAGCCUCUCAAAGACCAGUACUAAUUACCAAGGUGCAAUCUCUCACAGAUCAACACGAUUUACUAGCGUGCAUUCUCUCACAUACUAGCACGACAUACAAGAGUGUAGUCGCUCACAAAUCAGCACGAUUUACUAACAUGCAGUCACUCAUAGACCAACACAACAUACAAGAGUGCAGUCGCUCACAAACCAUCACAAUUUUCUAGAGUGCAGUCGCUCACAUAUCAACACAUUUUAGAAUGCAAUCUCUCACGUAUCAACACGACAUACAAGAGUGCAGUAGCUCACAGACCAACACAAUUUUCUAGAGUGCAAUCGCUCACAGAUCAGCACAUUCUAUAGUGCAAUCUCUCAUAGAUCAGCACGACGCGACAAUCCCCACAAAGAUAAGAUGAACCAACAAUUCACAUGGCAUCAUCUUGUGGCCCAUCACGGUCACCACUAUCACCAUGGCCCCAACGCGGUCACUAUGUACUAUGAAAUGCAUGAGCAUACUCUGACUCUUUUCACCACAAUCAUUAAGUAAAGGCAGCUAUUAAAAGAUUCCUCAUUUUUAAUACUUAUUAACACUAAUGAUUUUUCAAAUACAACAUAGAGCAUAUUCAAACAUAUUUAUUUAGACCAAUUUAAAUUUCCACAAUCACACAUAAAUCACAUCUCCAAAUUCUAUCCACGCCUAAAUGGAAUUAAAUUCAUUUUCCACCAAGUCACACAUAAA
rnacentral:lncRNA from 1 species